rnacentral:lncRNA from 1 species
UUUGAGAAAUUCCAAGAUGACUUGGAUAAAGUUUGUUACUCUGCUGAGGCAUUUAAACUAUAUUUAAAUUUAUUAAGCUAUAUGAAUUUUAGAUUUUCCUCUGAUGAAUUUUUGGAUACAACUGUGGCUUUUCAUUUUUAAUCAUUUCUUAGCAUUACUCACUCUCAAGUUUGUUGAGCAAACUUUUCCCAAGAGCAGGUAAUGACAUCUUGCACCCUUACAAAAAUACACAAAAGAAUUACUGCGUAGAGUUCCAGCGUGGGUGGAAGGUCUUUGAGAAAUUACGGAGCUGUGUCAAACAGGAUUGAAAUAACAUCGGUUAUACUCAGAUGUUAAUUCAUAAAGUAUUAAAUUGACAAGGCUCUUUUUGAUUAUGAUUUUUAAUGCCAAGCAAAGUGUAUAAUAGUAAAGCAUACAAAUUUAUUAUACCUAAAUAGAUUUAUAAUUCAAAAUAAGCGGGAACCAGAGUUUGUUUCCCUUAGUUCAAGUUCUUUCUAACUCUACAUACCUAAAUAGUAUUUGUAUAUUCAUUGACUCCUGACAAUCUUUUUA